UCGAGCGAACCAGUGAACCAGUGAAGCAGGGAGCGCGUUCAGUUACUCCAUGGUGAAGCACUGGCGGAGCAGCACGACCAGCAGGGCACCUCACAGCCACGCGACACAGCGGCGGAGUAGCUGACAGAACGGAAUAUCUAUAAGAGCGCUGGGGCCUCUGAUAACUGGCCGGCCCUUCCAUUUACGAGGGAAUUGCUGCGAGUGUUCAUGGCGAGACUCCCCCUUUACUAUUAACUGGUGGACAGGUGGGCGGCCUGGCGUGACGGGCCUGCAGGGGAGAGGAGGCGGUCGUGACGGGGGAGAGGGGAGAGGAGGGGAAGGGCGUCUGAAUGCACCUGUCCCUCCCCUUCCCUCUCUUGUCCCUCCUCUCCCCUCUCCUCUCACCGAGUCAUCACAGGAUGUUGAGUAUCACUAUAAUGCAGUUUCUGAAUCGCCAUCGUAAAGUAUAUGUGCAGAGAGAGAGAGAGAGAGAGAGAGAGAGAGAGAGAGAGAGAGAGAGAGAGGGGGGGAAUUAGAGAGAGAUGAGCGAAGUGCUUCGUAUAUUGGUUUAUUUUCAUGAUUAUACCCGAGAGAGAGUUAAGUGCUAAGUAUAUUGCUUUAUUUUCAUGUUUGCAUCCAUCUCGCUCCUGGGGGCGGUGCUUUAUUUAUUUAUUUAUUUACCUUUAUACUUUAUCAUGGGUUAGGUAGCCCCGUAUACCUAGCUGUCAUAUCAUUACCAACAUUAUUUUCACCUUUACACUUAACUUGAAUAAGUGCAGUUACUUAUGACGGAAGGAGGAAAUAGUUUAGUUCAUCAUAGCAAGACAGGGAUAUAGAGGUACUUCUGAUAUAUCACCAUUGUACUGUGGAACUUUUAUAUAUAUAUA